AACGAACGCUGGCGGCAGGCUUAACACAUGCAAGUCGAGCGCCCCGCAAGGGGAGCGGCAGACGGGUGAGUAACGCGUGGGAAUCUACCCAUCUCUACGGAAUAACGCAUGGAAACGUGUGCUAAUACCGUAUACGUCCUUCGGGAGAAAGAUUUAUCGGAGAUGGAUGAGCCCGCGUUGGAUUAGCUAGUUGGUGGGGUAAAGGCCUACCAAGGCGACGAUCCAUAGCUGGUCUGAGAGGAUGAUCAGCCACACUGGGACUGAGACACGGCCUAGACUCCUACGGGAGGCAGCAGUGGGGAAUAUUGGACAAUGGGCGCAAGCCUGAUCCAGCCAUGCCGCGUGAGUGAUGAAGGCCCUAGGGUUGUAAAGCUCUUUCACCGGUGAAGAUAAUGUCGGUAACCGGAGAAGAAGCCCCGGCUAACUUCGUGCCAGCCGCCGCAGUAACAC
rnacentral:rRNA from 1 species